rnacentral:rRNA from 1 species
GUGGGGAAUAUUGCACAAUGGGCGCAAGCCUGAUGCAGCAACGCCGCGUGAGGGAUGACGGCCUUCGGGUUGUAAACCUCUUUUAGUAGGGAAGAAGCGAAAGUGACGGUACCUGCAGAAAAAGCACCGGCUAACUACGUGCCAGCAGCCGCGGUAAUACGUAGGGUGCAAGCGUUGUCCGGAAUUAUUGGGCGUAAAGAGCUCGUAGGCGGCUUGUCGCGUCUGCUGUGAAAUCCCGGGGCUCAACCCCGGGCCUGCAGUGGGUACGGGCAGGCUAGAGUGCGGUAGGGGAGAUUGGAAUUCCUGGUGUAGCGGUGGAAUGCGCAGAUAUCAGGAGGAACACCGAUGGCGAAGGCAGAUCUCUGGGCCGUAACUGACGCUGAGGAGCGAAAGCAUGGGGAGCGAACAGGAUUAGAUACCCCAGUAGUCC